CAAGGGAUGCAAAAGACUAAUGAAACCAAACGUCUCGAGCAGUUUUUUGUGGGGUGGAAAAGAAGUUGCCUCGAUUAGUUCAGCCACUUGUCUCUAUAUAAUGGCAUUAAUACGCAAACCUGUACAGGAGGAACCUGAGGAACUCUCCGAUAGUGACUUUGAAAGUCCUGUGGGCUGGAGAAGGAGAGCCCUGUUUAUCUGGAGGAAGAUGAGGCUCUUGAAGAGGCAAUUCAGCGUAGUCUACUAGAAGAGUGUGUAGGACCUGCUGUUAAUACUUUAAAGUCAUCUGAAAUGCUGAGCAAAGAAGAAAUUGCAGGCCUUCUACAAGCUCACAGUGAGAGAGUUAUUACAUUGGGAACAAGACCGAUCUAUAUCAGUCGAACCAAUGUUUGGACCACAGCCUUACUUGUGUUUAAGAGACCCAGUUUUGCAGAAAGCUGUGACACGCUCUAUGUCACAUUUGCAAGCGAUGAACAUGAUGCUGUGGAAGAUGCUGCUGACCUUGGGGGUCCCAGACGAGAGUUUUUCCGCUUACUGAUGAAGGCUAUCUUCCAGGACAGUGGAGUUUUUGA